AGGCCAAGGUAGACCUGGAUGUGCUGUCUCUACCCGAGGAGUCCUGGGACAAACCUUCUGUGGACCUAGUUUCUUAUUAUAUUAAAUAAACUAUUUACCCCUUAGAUUCUUUUCUAAGUCUAAUGUACAUUUUUAUAAUCCCUAUGUUUUAUUCUAGAAAUCUCUUGUCUGACUCCUGCAAUAAAGGUGAUUACUUACUCUUUGGGAGAAGGUGGGCAGAAAGCAGAAAUAUUGGUUAUCAUGUUACUUUCAUUUAUGUUAUGACUUGAAAAGUUUUCAUGUUUCUCAAAUGUGAUUUUAUUAUAUGAAACCCUAAAAUGCUAAGUCUUCCUAGGAUUUCCUAAAAGUAGCACCUGGAAAAAAUUGGGUUUGAGCCAAAAAAACAUUACUUUAAAAGAAACUUCUCUAAAAACAUGUCGAUAUCGGUAUGUAUUUGGAACUAAGCUAGGUGCUAAAACCUUUGUAUUCUUUCCUUUUUAAGAAAAAUCAUUCAGUAAUUAGCAUUGAGAUACAUGAUAAAGGCUUAUGUUUCAUUGGUUUAAGCUUUCAAAUUGGGAAUUUCAAGAAUCUGGUGAAGCACAGGUUCAUCCCCAGGUUUGGCAGUCUGCAAUUUCUAAAUACAGUUUGAACUCUCCGUGCAACUAUAGAUUUCUUUCUAGCUGUAGAUUUCUUUCUAGAUAGUUAUAGUAAUGCACAGAGUGCAGAGGAGUGGAUACCUAUACCUGAAUAUUUGUUUCUCCUCUGUAGGAGGCUGGGAACAAAAUGUUUCUGCUAGUAGAAAAUGACAACUGUAAAUAUGAAGGGAGAAGAACCACACAAUCAGCAGUGGGGCAUGGUAAAGCAAACAUAAGGCAGCUUUAUCCCAAUGUAGAAAUGCUUUGAAGAGAAAUAGAGUUCAAGUGAAAUCUGUUAACCCAACACUGUGAGUGGGUCUCAAUGGAAGAGAAAAAACCCUGAGGCGAAAGAAGUCUCAGGAGGAUCCCAUAAAAGGCUGAAGUGGGGCGACGUCUGCCUUGAGUUGGUCCUCAGCAGAACAGCAUUCUGGGGCAGUGAUGUUAACAAGCAGAAAUAAGAAUGGAGCACUUCAUCUUGUUGAGGAGAAUCAAUCUAUAUAGGCUUGUAGGACUGUGUCCUGUGGAUUUUUGGACUAGGAGCUGUGCCAGGUGCACUCAGAAAAAUUGGGGUCUUCUGAAUAAAGACAUUUCAGAUAAAGAAACAGAAAAAGAAAGAAGUAAAAUGACAUUUCCCACAUCACUCUGUUGGCAUGUUACAGGCCAAAGGUCUUUCAGGACACCCAAGAAGAAACGUCUCUCAACAUUGUUCAUCAGCUGCCUUCUAUCUCAGCUGUCUCUGAGAUAAUCCUCUCCCUGUGUGGGGGCUGACCUGGAGAGCAGUGCUGAGCCUCUGAUCAGACACUAUCCCAUGGGUGCUCAGGGCCCAGAAUCCCAUUGAAUGGAGCAUAGAUGUUUCUGAAGGUCUGAGGA